ensembl:misc_RNA Metazoa_SRP Metazoan signal recognition particle RNA
GCUGCGUGUGGUGGCACAUACCUGUAGUCCCAGCUACUCGGGAGGCUGAGGCAGGAGGAUUGCUUGAGCCCAGGAGUCCUGGGCUAUAGUACACUAUGCCAGUCUGAUGUCCGCAUAAAGUUUGGCAUAGUAUGGUGACCUUGACUUCCCUGCAGCAAGGGACCACCAGGUUGCCUAAGGAGGAGUGAACUAGCUCAGGUUGGAAACAGAGUAGGUCAGUACUCUGGUGCUGCUUAGUAGCAGGAUCACACCUGGCAAUAGCCACUGCAGUCUAGCCUGGGCAACAUAGCUAGACCCUGUCUUAG